GGGCAGCUCUCUGCUGGCAGGGAACGAAAACGUUGGAAAACAACCAACCAACCAAACAAACAAACCUCAGGGGAGAGGAGAAAGAGAACACCUCCUUAGUAAUGGAACAAAUUACAGAGGGAAGAGAGGCAACGAGCAGCCAUUACACCAACACAUCCACAUAGAAGGACUGAUAACUCUCAUGCUGAAGAAUAGAGUGGGACCUGGCACACAGGUGAAUAGUAAUGGAAUACACUGCAGUUCACCAAUUUUCCAAUACAGUGCCCUCCUUAUCACCUGAUGGCAGUUUCAUACCCUGUAGUUUAAAGUGAGUUCCUGGCCUGAGUCAGGAUCCUCAUAGACAAUUGUCCACAUCACAAAAACCCAAAAGAUCUCACUAGUUGGCACUGUUAUUGGCAAACUUAGCAAAGAGAACAUGAAUGUAUGUCAAUGAAUCUUUCUUACCACUAGAGAGGAAGCUCUCCUAGUGCAUUGCCUGAGCGAGGUGGAAAGGCUAAUAACAUUUCUUCUGUGCCUGUUCUUUGGAUAAACUAAAGAUUUUCAGGACCAAGAUGUCUCUCAAGAUAAACUACACUGUACAAUAUUGUGUGAUGGCCUCUCCUUCAAAUAGCAUAUGGGACUCUAUGACCUUGAUCUACAGUUCACUUUUAUUUCUUGCAUAACUUUCAUCCAGAGCAUCCUUUUAUGAGCAUCCCAAGCAGAGCAACAUCUAAUUUUUGUGGAUUCAGCCUGGGGCAGAUCAGCUGUUCUGAAGAAGUUUUAAGAAGGUAUAAACUAUGUGAUUAUCAUAAGUAUAUAGACAGUAAAAUAAACUACAAGGGGAAAUCCCCAAGGAAGAUUGAAAAAUCCUUGAUUUAGUUCAGAUCCAUAACAAAUUGUUUUAGAGCUGGAUUGUCUCAUGUUAGUUAUUUUUAUUGUUGGGCAGGAAUUGCCUUUCAUUGCCUUUUAGAAGAAAGGAAUCUAAUCGCUUUUGCAGAUAUAAAUUAAAACCUAGGCAAGUUAUUUAUUGGUUUCUAAAAGUGCCACCCUACCUCUCUGUCUAGCCACCAAUAAAGGGUCAAAAACAUGCUUCCAGCAAGGCUUAGAGUAGUGCGUGCUCUAUUUUGGAUCCUGGAGGCAAAGGAAGGAUAAGUACUGAGAGAGGGGGAGGGAAGUUGGGUGGAGGGAAGUGUGACAUCCAAACUCAAGGCCUGGCUACCUGAAUUACCAGACUAACGUUUCAUCUUGCUGAGAGACAGGGUUGAGAAUUAAAAACUUUCACAGGACUUUGGUAAGCUUCAGCUCAGGCCCAGGGAACCUAAACAGGCAGAGACUGACACGUGAAAUAAAGAGAGACAAAACUGAUGGGUGAUAGAAAGAAAAAGGAGGAGAAAGGGAUGCAAUGGGAAAAGAUGAUCAGGAGGCAGCAAAAAGGAGUAAGAUAAAGGAAGACAAGAUAAGGACAAAAAAGAAAGAGGAAAGGGUGACCAAGUAGUCUAGAAAAAUGGCAGACAUGAGACAGAAAGAGAAAACUAAAGAGGAGGAAAAAAAAAAAAAGAGAAGGAAAUCAAUGUGCAAGGAAGUUAUUUAUUUAAAAAAAAGAUUAAAUAUAAAGUUUAAGGCCAGAACAUGAUAAAUAAAAUUACACAUUUGAUUCCAAAGGUGGAAAUACUUGGGUUUUUUUUAAGGAAAAUAUAACCAAAAUACUUUAAAUGUUAAAACACACAUAAGACAGUGCUUUAAUGAGAGAAAUACUUAGAUUUAGCAUAUCUCAGGGAUCAAAAUUCUGGAUUCUUAAACUACUGACCUCAGCAUUUGUAGCUAGCAGCUGAACUGCUGAGAAAGAUAAAAGUCCUGUCACUCAUGGAAUGCUACUAUUCUAAGAUACAUAAUACACUACUAAUAGCAACUACUGGAAAUUCUCUUCUAGUUCAAGUACCAGUGUUUAUGGGCUUGGAUAGGAGGCUCAUUGUAAUGUGAAGUUAACUUGACACUUGGUAAACAUGACAUCUGUAUAUGUAUAUACAUGAGGAUGUACAUUGUUUAGUUUGGGACAGAUAGAAGACUACGUGGUAGAAUGAAAUAAAACAUUUGCUCUAAUGUAAUCUAUUAAUUCUAUAGUGCACAAUGCAGAUUUCUCGAAGGAGAGUUUAAGAGAUUAUUUGAAAUAGACCUUACCCUUGACUGUGGUAGACAAUAUUCAUUCCUCUAAUGGAUUCAUUUAUGUGUAGCUCAGGGCUGAAAUGGAUAUUUUAGACAUUUUCUUCAAGGACUUUUCUGAUGGACUAGGCUGAUUUACAUUUCAUGUUACAAGCUAUAGGCACUUCAUCUCAAUGUCUGUAAGGCUCUCCCAGGCUGGUCUGACAACUUAACCAAGAAGAGUCCACCCUUACAUAUUAGAAAAUGAAAUGGUCAUGGUUUGUGGACAGUGAUGACAUUAAUGGUUUGAGUGCCUCAGAGGGAGUGUAGACUGCAUGCAAGAUGAUUAACAGGACUCUGCCAAUUCACCCUUAUAGUUAAGGUGAAUACAAUUUUGCAUAAAAUGUAUGCUUGUUUACUAGAGAGACAACAGCAAAUCUACGUCUAUCUGUCAUACUUGUUACACUAUGGACAACAACAUUUCUUUUUAAAGUCAUUUGUAUCUAUGAAUGAGCAUAUCCAAACUAAUCAAUGAGAUCAUAAGCAUCACUCAUAUGUUACAAGAUAUCUUCAUAGGUAAGAGCCAAAUAAAAAGCUUUACUAUUGUUUGGAAUGCUUCAUUUAGAAGAAAGCAUUCUCAAGAAGCUUAUAAUGAAUUUUCUGGAUAAGGAAAGAAAUAAACCAUACUAGACAGUAGUUAUUUGACUAGGGCACUCAUAUAGGAUGUAGGGGAUGCAGGAUCAAGUUUUUUGUAUAUAUCAGACCUGGAUACCUCAAAUUCCAUGUGAACACUAACCACCAGCCUGUUAGUUAUUGGGAGGAUGCUUCUCAAGUGUUUGUUUACAAAAACAACACAAAUACUCACAUUUUCAUUUAGCUGUGGAAUAAAAACAAUUUUUGAAAACUCA